rnacentral:rRNA from 1 species
AAAACUUUCAGCGACGGAUGUCUUGGCUCCCACAACGAUGAAGAACGCAGCGAAAUGCGAUACGUCUUGCGACUUGCAGAAUCCAGUGAAUCAUCAAAACUUUGAA